UACAGAGGUCUCAAGCGUUGUUCGGAUUCAUUGGGCGUAAAGGGUGCGUAGGCGGCGCGGUAAGUCGGGUGUGAAAUCUCGGGGCUUAACUCCGAAACUGCAUUCGAUACUGCCGUGCUUGAGGACUGGAGAGGAGACUGGAAUUUACGGUGUAGCGGUGAAAUGCGUAGAUAUCGUAAGGAAGACCAGUGGCGAAGGCGGGUCUCUGGACAGUUCCUGACGCUGAGGCACGAAGGCCCAGGGGAGCAAAACGGG
rnacentral:rRNA from 1 species